UAUGGCCAUAUGACAGUGAACACUGGUUUUCAUACGAUCACUGAAGUUAAGCAACGUCGAGCCUGGUCAGUACCUAGAUGGCUGACCUUUUGGGAAUACCAAUUGCU